AUUUAGGGUAGAGGAGCUUUUACCAAAAGUAUUCUUGAGAAGUGGGCACACGAUGAUACAAGAAGAAAGGGGAGAAAAGCCGAAGAGAAUAACCUGGCAAGGAUAUUCUCUGGGAUAGUACAAAAUAUGUGCUAUACUGCCACUAUGAAAAUAGUGGAGAGCUACAAAGUAA
rnacentral:ncRNA from 1 species